rnacentral:rRNA from 1 species
GAUCCUGGCUCAGAGUGAACGCUGGUGGUAGGCCUAACACAUGCAAGUCGAACGGCAGCACAGAGGAGCUUGCUCCUUGGGUGGCGAGUGGCGGACGGGUGAGGAAUACAUCGGAAUCUACUCUGUCGUGGGGGGAUAACGUAGGGAAACUUACGCUAAUACCGCAUACGACCUACGGGUGAAAGCAGGGGAUCUUCGGACCUUGCGCGAUUGAAUGAGCCGAUGUCGGAUUAGCUAGUUGG